GGAGAGAUGGCUUAGUGGUUAAGAGCACUGCACUGGCUGCUUUUCCAGAGGACCCGGGUUCAAUUCCCAGUACCUACU
rnacentral:tRNA from 2 species